rnacentral:rRNA from 1 species
AUUGAACGCUGGCGGCAGGCCUAACACAUGCAAGCCGAACGGCAGCACAGAAGAGCUUGCUCUUUGGGUGGCGAGUGGCGGACGGGUGAGUAAUGUCUGGGAAACUGCCCGAUGGAGGGGGAUAACUACUGGAAACGGUAGCUAAUACCGCAUAACGUCGCGAGACCAAAGUGGGGGACAUUCGGGACUGACACCAUCGGAUGUGUCCAGAUUGGAUUAGCUAGUAGGUGGGGUAAUGGCUCACCUAGGGGAAGAUCCCUAGCUGGUCUGAGAGGAUCACCAGCCACACUGGAACUGAGACACGGUCCAGACUCCUACGGGAGGCAGCAGUGGGGAAUAUUGCACAAUGGGCGCAAGCCUGAUGCAGCCAUGCCGCGUGUAUGAAGAAGGCCUUCGGGUUGUAAAGUACUUUCAGCGGGGAGGAAGGCGGUGAGGUUAAUAACCUCGCCGAUUGACGUUACCCGCAGAAGAAGCACCGGCUAACUCCGUGCCAGCCGCCGCAGUAA